AAUCCGCGAGACUCCGUGGGGUAGGACCCUCCGAGCCAGGUGCGGCAUAUAAUCUCGUGGUGCGCCGUUUUUUAAGCCCGUGGGGAAAGCGCAGUGUUCUGGUGGGAGUGACCCGAUUUUCCAGGUGCCGUCCGUCACCCCUUUCUUUGACUAGGAAAGGGAACUCCCUGACCCUUGCUCUUCCCGAGUGAGGCAAUGCCUCGCCCUGCUUCGGCUCGCGCAGGGUGCGCGCACCCACUGACCUGCGCCCACUGUCUGGCACUCCCUAGUGAGAUGAACCCGGUACCUCAGAUGGAAAUGCAGAAAUCAACCAUCUUCUGUGUCGCUCACGCUGGGAGCUGUAGACCGGAGCUGUUCCUAUUUGGCCAUCUUGGCUCCUUCCUCAUCCUUAUUCAAUUCUUGAACGGUUCCACACAAAAAUAACUGAAGAUGGGCCUCCAGUCUUACGACGCCACAAAGUGCCCUGACACCACUGAACACGAAAACUCAUUGCAGAGUUUUAUUGCAUGAAAGAUGUUUGUGAUGUUUGCAAUUGGAUGACUCAAGUCUUUGUCAUGGAGAC
rnacentral:lncRNA from 1 species